GAUGAACGCUGGCGGCGUGCCUAAUACAUGCAAGUCGAGCGAACAGAUGAGGAGCUUGCUCCUCUGACGUUAGCGGCGGACGGGUGAGUAACACGUGGAUAACCUACCUAUAAGACUGGGAUAACUUCGGGAAACCGGAGCUAAUACCGGAUAAUAUAUUGAACCGCAUGGUUCAAUAGUGAAAGACGGUUUUGCUGUCACUUAUAGAUGGAUCCGCGCCGCAUUAGCUAGUUGGUAAGGUAACGGCUUACCAAGGCAACGAUGCGUAGCCGACCUGAGAGGGUGAUCGGCCACACGGGAACUGAGACACGGUCCAGACUCCUACGGGAGGCAGCAGUAGGGAAUCUUCCGCAAUGGGCGAAAGCCUGACGGAGCAACGCCGCGUGAGUGAUGAAAGUCUUCGGAUCGUAAAACUCUGUUAUUAGGGAAGAACAAAUGUGUAAGUAACUAUGCACGUCUUGACGGUACCUAAUCAGAAAGCCACGGCUAACUACGUG
rnacentral:rRNA from 1 species